CGGCAGGCCUAAUACAUGCAAGUCGAACGGUAACAUUGGUGCUUGCACCAGAUGACGAGUGGCGCACGGGUGCGUAACGCGUAUGCAAUCUACCUUUUACUAGAGUAUAGCCCAGAGAAAUUUGGAUUAAUCCUCUAUAAUAUCUUUUAAUUUCAUGAUUUUAAGAUUAAAGUUUUAACGGUAAAAGAUGAGCAUGCGUCCUAUUAGUUUGUAGGUGAGGUAAUGGCUCACCUAGACUACGAUAGGUAGGGGCCCUGAGAGGGGGAUCCCCCACACUGGUACUGAGACACGGACCAGACUCCUACGGGAGGCAGCAGUAAGGAAUAUUGGACAAUGGACGAAAGUCUGAUCCAGCCAUGCCGCGUGCAGGAUGAAAGCCCUAUGGGUUGUAAACUGCUUUUAUACAGGAAGAAACACUCCGACGUGUCGGAGCUUGACGGUACUGUAAGAAUAAGGAUCGGC
rnacentral:rRNA from 1 species